UACAGAGACUGCAAGCGUUAUUCGGAUUCACUGGGCGUAAAGGGUGCGCAGGCGGCCGUGUGUGUGAGGCGUGAAAGCCCGGGGCUUAACCCCGGAAUUGCACCUCAAACUACAUGGCUAGAGCAUUGGAGAGGGUAGCGGAAUUCACGGUGUAGCAGUGAAAUGCGUAGAUAUCGUGAGGAACACCAGAGGCGAAGGCGGCUACCUGGACAAUUGCUGACGCUCAGGCACGAAAGCGGUGGGGAGCAAAAGGG
rnacentral:rRNA from 1 species